GACAUAAUGCAACUAGCACAAUCCAUGCUGCCAAGAAAAGCCUCUAGCGAGCUUCGAGCGGCCCGUACCCCAAACCGACACAGGUGGUCAGGUAGAGAAUACCGAGGCGAUCGGGCGAACUGUGGUUAAGGAACUCGGCAAAUUACCCCCGUAACUUCGGGAGAAGGGGGGCCACAGACUGUCAUACCCCACGCGGGUGGCAGCAGUAGGUGGCCGCAGAGACCAGGGGGAAGCGACUGUUUACUAAAAACACAGGUCCGUGCGAAGUCGUAAGACGAUGUAUACGGACUGACGCCUGCCCGGUGCUGGAACGUUAAGGGGACCGGUUAGUCCGCAAGGGCGAAGCUGAGAACUUAAGCGCCGGUAAACGGCGGUGGUAACUAUAACCAUCCUAAGGUAGCGAAAUUCCUUGUCGGGUAAGUUCCGACCUGCACGAAUGGCGUAACGACUUCCCUACUGUCUCAACCACAGGCCCGGCGAAAUUGCACUACGAGUAAAGAUGCUCGUUACGCGCGGAAGGACGGAAAGACCCCGGGACCUUCACUAUAGCUUGACAUUGGUAUCCGAAUUUAAUUGUGUAGGAUAGGUGGGAGGCUUUGAUCCGCGGACGCCAGUCCGUCGGGGAGCCAACGUUGAAAUACCACUCUGUUGACUUUGGGUAUCUAACUUCGGACCGUGAUCCGGUUCAGGGACAGUGUCUGGUGGGUAGUUUAACUGGGGCGGUUGCCUCCUAAAAUGUAACGGAGGCGCCCAAAGGUUCCCUCAGCCUGGUUUGCAAUCAGGUGUUGAGUGCAAGUGCACAAGGGAGCUUGACUGUGAGACUGACAGGUCGAGCAGGGACGAAAGUCGGGACUAGUGAUCCGGCACCUGCGAGUGGAAGCGGUGUCGCUCAACGGAUAAAAGGUACCCCGGGGAUAACAGGCUGAUCUUCCCCAAGAGUCCAUAUCGACGGGAUGGUUUGGCACCUCGAUGUCGGCUCGUCGCAUCCUGGGGCUGGAGUAGGUCCCAAGGGUUGGGCUGUUCGCCCAUUAAAGCGGCACGCGAGCUGGGUUUAGAACGUCGUGAGACAGUUCGGUCCCUAUCCUCCGCGCGCGUAGGAGACUUGAGAAGAGCUGUCCCUAGUACGAGAGGACCGGGACGGACGAACCUCUGGUGUGCCAGUUGUCAUGCCAAUGGCACGGCUGGUUAGCUACGUUCGGAAGGGAUAACCGCUGAAAGCAUCUAAGCGGGAAGCUCGCUUCAAGAUGAGGUCUCCCACCCCUUAGAGGGUUAAGGCCCCCAGCUAGACCACUGGGUUGAUAGGCCAGAAGUGUAAGCCUGGUAACAGGUUCAGCCGACUGGUACUAAUAGGCCGAGGACUUCACCAA
rnacentral:rRNA from 1 species